UACGAAGGGGGCUAGCGUUGUUCGGAAUUACUGGGCGUAAAGGGCGCGUAGGCGGUUUCGCUAGUCAGGCGUGAAAUCCCCAGGCUUAACCUGGGAAUUGCGCUUGAUACUUCGAGACUUGAGUGAGGGAGAGGAUAGUGGAAUUCCCAGUGUAGAGGUGAAAUUCGUAGAUAUUGGGAAGAACACCAGUGGCGAAGGCGGCUAUCUGGACCUCAACUGACGCUGAGGCGCGAAAGCGUGGGGAGCAAACAGGAUUAGAUACCCUGGUAGUCCACGCUGUAAACGAUGUGUGCUAGACGUUGGGGAGCCUAGCUUCUCAGUGUCGCAGCUAACGCGAUAAGCACACCGCCUGGGGAGUACGGUCGCAAGAUUA
rnacentral:rRNA from 1 species